rnacentral:rRNA from 1 species
CGUGAUUGGGCUAUAUUACGGUGCGAAAUUAUAUGUUCGGACAUUGUUUUCGAAUAUUUAGCAUGUAUCAAGCUCUUCUAAACAGAAAGGGUAUUCCUACAUAGAUGGUGGGACCCACGGCAAAUGGAUCAUAAAGUCUUCAAAAAAGAAUACAUACGAUUGCAUUGCAUGUAGUAACGAAUGCGAUCAUACCAGCACUAAUGCACCAGAUCCCAUUUGAACUCCGCAGUUAAGCGUGCUUGGGUGAGAGUAGUACUAGGAUGGGUGACCUCCAGGAAAGUCCUCGUGUUGCAUCCCUCUUUUUUCCGGUUUUCUCUUUUUCUUUUGUCAAAAAUGUAUGACACUAGAACUUUUAGACCGUGAUGCCAAACACUUGGCAUGUGAUACCUUUUCGGAAAGCCCAAAGAGAGCUCUCCGACGAAAGAAGCAGACAAUGGAAUUUUUCCAUUGACUUUUUGUCGACUCCAAAUUUUGACCUUUAUCUACUUUUUCGGGA